GUGCAAGCUUCCCCAUGUGACCCAUGCAGAUGUCUUCAGCAAGGCAGUUGGAUUAUGAGUGUGGGAACUGAACAUGCCCCCCACACAAGAAGACUGCAGCUUUGUUCACAAUUGUCCCAAAUUCAAAGCAACUGUGAUAGAAAUGUUGGCCAGCGCAGACCUCACGCACAGAGGAGUGGUUUGAAGAGCCACGGUGUGAAGUCAGCAGGGCCACCAAUGCUCCCAUCUACGCCUCCUGGUGUCUAAUCACGGAGGAGUGACAGCAUCUGAGAGCCUCACAUUCCCAUCCACAAAGGGGUGGCAGGAACUGUCCCCAGCACAGAGAAUGUCAG
rnacentral:lncRNA from 1 species